rnacentral:rRNA from 1 species
AGGAUGAACGCUGGCGGCGUAGCUUAACACAGUGCAAGUCGAACGGAGUUUUAACGGAAGUUUCGGAUGGAAGUUUAGAAACUUAGUGGCGGACGGGUGAGUAACGCGUGGGUAACCUGCCUCAUACAGGGGGAUAACAGUUAGAAAUGACUGCUAACACCGCAUAAUAUAGCGAAACCGCAUGAUUUUGCUAUCAAAUAUUUAUAGGUAUGAGAUGGGCCCGCGUCUGAUUAGCUAGUUGGUGGGGUAAAGCCUACCAAGGCGACGAUCAGUAGCCGGCUUGAGAGAGUGACCGGCCACAUUGGGACUGAGACACGGCCCAAACUCCUACGGGAGGCAGCAGUGGGGAAUAUUGGACAAUGGGGGAAACCCUGAUCCAGCGAACCGCCGCGUGAGUGAAGAAGUAUUUCGGUAUGUAAAGCUCUAUCAGCAGGGAAGAUAAUGACAGUACCUGACUAAGAAGCCCCGGCUAAACUACGUGCCAGCCGCUGC